rnacentral:tRNA from 26 species
GGAGAGAUGGUAGAGUGGUCGAUUACAACGGUCUUGAAAACCGUCGUACCGAGAGGUACCGGGGGUUCGAAUCCCUCUCUCUCCGCAA